rnacentral:lncRNA from 1 species
UCAAACGCAGAUAAACUACAGCGCCGCAUCUAUCCACUGUCCAUAAACCCUAGUUAUCGAUCCACUGGGCAUCGCUUCUGUUCCAAUGCUGGACGAAAGUAGCGUUAGGAUCCAGUGGGAUCUUCUGAAGAAGAAUUUGUGUUAAAUGUUGUUAACAUGUUGACAGUUCAUAGGUGGUACAGGUUCAUGUGGGUCAUCUUGCCACGUUGAGUGUGCCCUCCAACGGCGAAAGGUCGGAGUGGUUAAUCUUGGCCAAGCGAUGCGGCUCGAUGGCUCUGGGAUACUUGGGUAUUGGAAGAAGCAGCUGACUGUUGUUAAGCAUCUCAACGGCACAUAAAGGCUUCUUCAAGACCUACAUAGCUUGGUUAUAGAAGCAAAAGAUAAACUAGAGACGGAAGUGGUCUAUAUGUGCCAUGGUUACCACAGCCAAAGCUGAUGUUUCAAAGGGAAAGACCACAUCAACUAAAAGGAAGUCAAAUGGUGGUGUUUGGUCGACUAGAAAGACUUGUCAAAUUGGUCAACAAGUAAAAGUACCGAAAAUCAGAAUAAGAGAGCAGGAAGACUUACCAUGUGGUAGCAAUGCUCCCUCCGUCGUGGUGGAAAGAGGUUUUGAAUAUAAGUUUUAACGCAAUUCAGAGAGUUAGUUGUGAUGAUUCAUUCAAGAUUAGAAGUUUUUGAGAAAGAUACACUCUUGUAUAAUUUCAUGUUUAUCUUGUAAUGGAUUCCUAUAAUAUACUUGUUGUGUAAAUAGUUAUUCAAGGGUUUAACAUUUGUUAUAGUUUUUGAAUACGUGUAAUUAUUUUAUAAGUGAUGGCGAUCAAAGAAAGAAGUCUAAAGUAAUUAUUUGUUG